CAAGUGCUCAAGCUUAGGUUCCCCUGCAGCCUGGGCUGGAGACCAUGGUAAGUCAGGCUGUGCCCCUGCAGCCCAUGGAGCUCCAGUGAUGCAGAAAUCCACCCGCAGCCCACGGAGGAGAUCCAGACUGGAGCAGGUCUUGUUUGAUGCCUGGGAAACUUUUAAUUCUUCCUUGUCCUUCUGACCCAGCCUAAUCUCUGUGUGGACACACAGCUAAAAAAAUUCAGAAUGUGGUAACAGAUUUUAAUACAUAUUAUUUUAAUACCACAUUUACAACAGGAGGUGGGUGCUUUCAGCCUUUUAGCAAGUGAAACCUCUACAACCACACAGGAAAUUAUAGGCCAAAUUUGCAAGCCUGAGAUUUGAAGAAAAUGAGGCUGUGCACACAUCUCCCAUUUACAAGCAUGACAUUAAAUGAGGAUUAAACUUUAAACCUUCUGGCAGCCCACUGAAACAACUAGCCUUAGAUGAAAAAACACCCAGAAGUUCUCAUCAAACAUAUCCUAAACAAUCUGAUUCCAGAUACUGUUCUCAUCAGGGAAAUAAAGCCAGGAGUGUUCCAAGUGGGCAAACAUCAUUUGUUUACUACCCGUGCCAGCUGAGCAGCGAUGGUCAGGAUGUGCAGAGCACAGGACACGGCUCAGCUGCCUGGGAAGCUCCUUCAUGAGUGCCACAGCAGCUGGAUCGAGCAACAGGAGACACAGCACAGGGUCACAUUUUGAAGAGAAUGUCACAGCUGCCAAACUCUGCCUUCUGCUGCAAACAAUACAGC